AGCGUAGGCGGCGUGGUAAGUCAGAUGUGAAAUCCCGGGGCUCAACCCCGGAACUGCAUCCGAUACUGCCAUGCUAGAGGAUUGGAGAGGUAGCUGGAAUUCUUGGUGUAGCAGUGAGAUGCGUAGAGAUCAAGAGGAACACUCGUGGCGAAAGCGAGCUACUGGACAAUUCCUGACGCUGAGGCUCGAAGGCUAGGGUAGCGAAAG
rnacentral:rRNA from 1 species